rnacentral:rRNA from 1 species
UGGGGAAUUUUGGACAAUGGGCGAAAGCCUGAUCCAGCAAUGCCGCGUGUGUGAAGAAGGCCUUCGGGUUGUAAAGCACUUUUGUCCGGAAAGAAAUCCUUGGCUCUAAUACAGUCGGGGGAUGACGGUACCGGAAGAAUAAGCACCGGCUAACUACGUGCCAGCAGCCGCGGUAAUACGUAGGGUGCAAGCGUUAAUCGGAAUUACUGGGCGUAAAGCGUGCGCAGGCGGUUUGCUAAGACCGAUGUGAAAUCCCCGGGCUCAACCUGGGAACUGCAUUGGUGACUGGCAGGCUAGAGUAUGGCAGAGGGGGGUAGAAUUCCACGUGUAGCAGUGAAAUGCGUAGAGAUGUGGAGGAAUACCGAUGGCGAAGGCAGCCCCCUGGGCCAAUACUGACGCUCAUGCACGAAAGCGUGGGGAGCAAACAGGAUUAGAUACCCUGGUAGUCCACGCCCUAAACAAUGUCAACUAGUUGUUGGGGAUUCAUUUCCUUAGUAACGUGCUAACGCGUGAAGUUGACCGCCUGGGGAGUACGGUCGCAAGAUUAAAACUCAAAGGAAUUGACGGGGUCAUAGCUG